CGGGGCGUAGCGCAGCCUGGCAGCGCGGCGGUUUUGGGAACCGCAGGUCGUUGGUUCGAAUCCAAUCGCCCCGACCA
rnacentral:tRNA from 1 species